AUGUGUUGGGUGUUGUGAAACAUGAGGUCCAGUGAUUGGUGGCCUGGAUGGCUCAGAAAACUCUUGGAAACAGAUGCCAUCCCACGACCAUGCUUUAGUCCCAGGAGGGAAUGUGGACUAAUGAAAAGAGGCAGACACUGUUGUGUGUAACACAGGAGUGAUCAGGUCUGGUUUAUGUCGCUUCGCCCUGGCUGCCACAAAGAAGAUAAACUAUGAUGGGGCCAGGGUCCUGUCGGCCAGUGUUUGCUCUGUUUCAGCACGCCCCGAGCUUAUCAGCAGUUCUGCGAGAGAGAACGGGAAAUGGAUUUGCCUUGGCCGCUGUUUGUGAAUCUGCCACCUGCCACCAUGAUGAAGGACCUCUCCAGUGCUAACCACGCCAUCUGACCUGCAUCAGAGAAUCAUUUUCUGCAUUUGGAGCAAUCCUAUUCAUGAUAGAGGAUGCUGAGGAUCAGCUCCGUGCUUGCAAUAUCCCCAAACCUGUGGGAAAGGUUGACCAGACAGCACAUUUAAAAGUUCUGGCUUUAGUUGACUGAUCGUGGUACCAAUUUGUGAUAUUUGGUGUGGCACUUACAAACAUACUACAUUAGUGACUUUUCUAUUGCUAUGGUAACACAUCAUAACCAAGGCAACUUCUCCACAGUCUUCCAAAAACCAGCAUGGUCAGAAGAAACUUCUCUUGCAUUGAAGCUGUGAGUCCCCCAGUCUGCUAUGAGCAUCUGUUGGUUGGAAGUAGGGAGUUUCAGUCUUCACUGCUGUCUUUGCAGUUUAUUUAUAUGGUGGAUUACAUCGAUAGAUUUUCAUAUGUUGAACCAUCCCUGCCUCUCUGGAAUGAAGCUGACUUGAUCAUGAAUACAUUCGGUCUGUACAACUGAGACCACAGAGGGGAGUUACGUCUGGACUUUCCAUGACAAUAAGACACAUCUACUCCUGGCAGCACCAAUCUACUUCAAGAGGGUGAUGGGCAUUGAAGAGGCUCCUUGUGGAAUUGGUUAGCCAUUUGGGCAAGAAACUGCUCGUUCCUGGACUGCUUGAUGUUAUGCUGUAUGAACUGGACACGCAGGACCCACAGAGAAAUGACUGCUGCAGUUGUCUAGAGAAGUGGGAUUCUGGGAUGGACCUUAGUUGCGAAACGUGGAUCCUAUUGACCAAUGGUGAGUCUUAGAGAAGCCCAUUCAGAUCUGUCUGUGACCCACCACAAGGAAGGAUGAAGAUGGACCUCAGCUUCCCAUCUGGUCUUGAAGUCCUGAUGAGUGCAGUUGAAUUGGAAGUUCUGAGUUCUCUGAAGACAGGUGUGAUUGCUUUAGCCACCCUGCGGGAUUUUGCAUUAGCAGUGAUUUGUGGAAUGUUUGUAGAGUAAAUGAUAUAAUGAUCCUGCCUAAGUGGCAGGGACUGGCUGAUGAAGACUGGCAUGGGAAGGGAAAAAUAGCUAAUUCCUUCUCGGGGUUUAAUGAGAGGUUGUACCGGGGCUGAGUUCUGUGUGCGGUUAUGUCCCACUUGGGACUAAUGCUACUGUUAAUAAAUGUCUCCGGGUUCCUCUCCUGUCACCAGGAGCCAUCAAAAGAACUAAUUACUUAGAAUUUUGCUUAAUGGUGCUUAUCUAAAUAACUUAGGAGCUUUUGAGUGAAAACAAUAAAAAUGCAAAUGAUUAUGCCAUGUUGCAAUGUAAUAAGGAUAUUUUCAUAAUCACAGGCAAAGGAGCAUUAAAGCCUGGGGCAGCAGGCUUCUGAUAAUACCUGGCCUAUUGAGGGAUUAAGGCUCUGAAUGUACCUUGAUUUCUGCUCUCUAUUUCCCCACUGGCCCCAAAUGGUCCUCCAACAGGUGCUCUGAUAUCUCAAAGGAAAGGG